rnacentral:rRNA from 1 species
UGGGGAAUUUUGGACAAUGGGGGCAACCCUGAUCCAGCCAUCCCGCGUGUGCGAUGAAGGCCUUCGGGUUGUAAAGCACUUUUGGCAGGGAAGAAACAGCCUGGGCUAAUAUCCCGGGCGACUGACGGUACCUGCAGAAUAAGCACCGGCUAACUACGUGCCAGCAGCCGCGGUAAUACGUAGGGUGCAAGCGUUAAUCGGAAUUACUGGGCGUAAAGCGUGCGCAGGCGGUUCGGAAAGAAAGGUGUGAAAUCCCAGGGCUUAACCUUGGAACUGCACUUUUAACUACCGGGCUAGAGUACGUCAGAGGGGGGUAGAAUUCCACGUGUAGCAGUGAAAUGCGUAGAGAUGUGGAGGUAUACCGAUGGCGAAGGCAGCCCCCUGGGAUGAUACUGACGCUCAUGCACGAAAGCGUGGGGAGCAAACA